rnacentral:SRP_RNA from 1 species
GCUUAGGUCCUGCGCAAUGGAAGCUCAUGAACCCCGUCAGAUCCGGAAGGAAGCAGCGGUAAGUGAUCACUUCUGUGUGCCGCGGGGGUGCCUAAGUUGA